AGCGACUAUAUAGCUAGCGCCUGAGAUGCUUUGAUAGCACAGAUAGUGUGUGUACACUGUGACCAUGAGCACAGAGUGUCGCGCGUGCAGCUAGCCCCCGACGGAGCUGCGUUAGCGACAGCCUCGUGGGACUCCACGCUGCGGAUCUGGGCGUAAGCAGCAUUCUUCUCUUCCCGGUGUUGAUAUUUAUUCCAAUACGUAGUUAGAGUAAGCGGUUUCGGCCGAUCGUGCAAUGUAACAUAAUAUACGUGUGUAGGACGGCCGGCGGUUAUACCCAUAUGUCAGUCAAGUGGAAAAUUGGAAAUAUAACAGCCCUUAUAACCCUUAUAACCCUUACCAUCAUACUUGUACUUAAAACAAAAACCGGCCAAGAUUUUUUAUGUGAAACGUGAGUGACAUGUCUAAAAAACCCGUAGAGGGGUCGGAUCAAAAACUAAGUGAUGAAGCCCGACUCACGCUUGACUGCACAUUUCUAAUAGGUUUUCCUGUAAUCUAUAGGUAAAGAUCUAUUUUGUGUAUUUUUUUCAAAAUUUUUGACCCAGUAGUUUCGGAGAUAAAGGGGGGAGAGGGGAAUGGUCAUUUUUUGCCUAUUCUCUUGAAUAACUUCUAAAUUGUUUAUCCUAAAAUUAUGACUGCAGGCCAACUGCAACGCAUACGUACUAUCCCAGGUAGCAAAGUAACGUCAGCGACGUACAAGUGACGUCAUAAUGACGUAUAAAUGCUACCUGGGAUGUAUGACACAACCAAAUUUUUUUUCGCGAUUUCGGGGUUGAUUCCAUAGUAAAAGUUGCUCAGUAUAAUCCCAAAUCCCUGGCAACGGGAAUGCACUUAUUUUUAGCCACCCUGUAUAUUUUUUCACUUGACCGUUAUUUGAGCAUUACCGCCGACCACCAAACCUAUUGAUUGUAAUUUUCUUUGUGAAUAGAAGCGGUAUUUCUCGUCAUGUACAUUUUAGCAGCUAAUAACCUUAUAUCGGCGAAUAUAGGAAAAAUAUGUGCCAUUUUCAACCAAAAGGGUACUUAUUGUCGCUUGUCAGUAAGGCGCUAUUUCCAUAUAGCUUCAAUUAGAAAUCAACCUUAUCAACAAGCGACAAUGUGGUACCUUUUGGUUGAAAAUGUCACAUAUGUAAAUCAAUCUCUUGGUCUGAUAAGAUUUUGUGUCUUUAAACACUGCCUGUAAAUGUGCCAUUUUCAACCAAAAGGGUACUUAUUGUCGGUUGUCAAUAAGGCGCUAUUUCCAUAUAGCUUCAAUUUAGAAUCAUCCUUAUCGACAAUGUGGUACCUUUUGGUUGAAAGCGUCACAAAUAUUUUGUUGCUGACUGUAUGGUCAAGGAAUUUAAUUUUAGUACCAUUUCGUACCUUGUCACAGUGACAAUAGUAUGAGGUCUCUAGCGACUUUCAUAUUUAUUGUCACUGUGGCAAGGUACGAAAUGGUACUGAAAUUAAAUUAUUUGACUGCAGAUAAUUUUGGUAGCACUAAAAAUCAGCAAAAAUGUACCAAAUGCAAAACGCAUACAAUGUGAAAUAACUUGCAAUCUAUUUAUUUAUUUAAUCUUUAUUGCACAAAAGAAAAACUUAUCGUACAAAAAGUGGACUUAAUGCCAAAAGCAUUAUCUACCAGUCAACCAGUCAGUCAGUAUCGUAUUAUUUAUUUCUGAACAUAGAUCAAUUACCACAGGAGGUGGCCCGAUUUAUUGCGCUUAAAUGUAAUAAUGGACGAAAUACCGCUGAGCGAUCUGAGAUACGGAUGCUACCGUAUGUAUGUCUGUAUAUUAGCAAUAUUAGUUAGAACAGUGCGACUUAAGACUGUAUAUGCGUUUAAGGGAUACAUCUACCUUUUCGUCAAAAAAUAUCUGUUGAGACAGACAGAGAACGGUACAUGUUACUUCCUACUUCCUUCUCAGCAGGAAUAUGGCUAAAAGUACGGCUAAAUUAUAGGUGUAAUAAACCUUAUAAGGUCAGCAUCGGCUUCAAAAUAUUUAGAUCACUACGGUUUCACUCACUAGUAUUUUCAGUCGCUUUUGACGACAUGUUUCGGACUCGUCGGGAGUCCUUCCUCAGGCACGAGUGUCCGCGGCGGCUGUACUCCGUGCACUGGCAUCGGCUUUUAUUAGCAGAAAAUGUCUUCGAAAGAUCAUUUAGAACAUUAUGUGACCUGAGAAGUUUCUUAGUUUCUCCCCUCUGUCCUGUAGAAUCCACCAUCGAUCCACCAGUGGAUUUAAUAGCACGCUAAAGUUCACUGUGAUCCACCAUUGGUCUAGGUGGAUCCUGUGAUACUUGCAUCUCUUAAUAUGUGUUCUCUACCAGUGGAUCGAACAGAAUUAACCGCACUAAGUGUUUCUUUUCGAAAAAACAUUUCUUUCACAACUUAACUAGAUGGAGCCCCGCGUCGCGGGGCUACUAUUCUAGGCGGUUUGCCCUUCGGGCAUCUGAAGCUACCUAACGAACCUAACCUACCUACGCUUUUUCCCCAAAGUGUAUGUCACGAAAGUUUAAUUUCGAUUACUUCAAUAUAACAGUCUACAGUAUAAUAACGUUAUUCAUAAACGCGUUACUGGCCUGUAUUAGCUAUGAAUCGUUUGUCUUUAUCUGUCAUUUUGACUUAUGUAUUUGUAAGAAAGAGAUAAACAUAAUUUAACCAAAACAAGCCGGUAAAGUUUUAUGGAUAAGGGGGUAAGUCUCUAAAUGUCUGGUAAAUUAUACAUUAUUAGGUAAAGCCUGACCAGUAAUAUAUGAUUAUUGUCAAGAGGGCGCUGUUAUUUUCAUGUAUAGGAUGACAGUUCAGUAUAGUAUGAAAAAAUUAGUUCCAGUGAAAUUCCGCAACAUGGCGCGUGAUCAUAUAAUCCUGGUCAGGCUUUAAUUCUGCUUAUUGUUGAAUCCGAUGCUGGCCGUUGUAACAAACCAAAGAGCGUAUGGAGUAUGAUGCCAAAGGGAUCCGUGUAUGGUCAUUGUCUUUAGUUGUAGCAAAGGGUUAUUGAUUGUAUAUGACUUGUAAAGUCUAGCAAAUAUGGAUGGUAUAGAAAGGAUGUUAAUCUCUAUAUAUGGAAAGUGUCCAUCAAAAAACAGUAUAUAGGCGGCGCCACCAUACACUCAAGUACCUCGACGAUACACCUGUAUUUUAUACAGAUGUGCGCCCGUGCGACCGUGAGGGACAGAACAUACGCAAUGCGACAAAAUUAAAAACACGUUUUAACAUUCCUGACAACAUACUAGAAACAACCUACGUAAUUUGGUCGGGUUAUUUGCUGCCCUCCCCCAUUUCAUCUCUACAUUAUUAUACCUCUAUGGUUCAUGUCAUAGUCUCCUAUAUAUUACAAUACUCUUUGGUCUCAGAGCCUACCUAGCGCCACCGGAGAGAUUAGGAACUAUUAUUUACAGCUAAAAGCUGGUCACAUGGAGACUAUAUAAAGGAGCCAAAUCUCUAUUAAUGAAAAGUGUCCAACAAAAAACAGUAAUUAGGCGGCGCCACCAUACACCGAAAUACUACCAAAAACAACCUACGUAAUUUGGUCGGGUUAUUUGUUGCCUUAUAUGGUUCAUGUUAUACUCAUGUCCCAGAGCCUAACUAGCGCCACCGGAGAGAUUAGGAACUAUUAUUUAAAGCUUAACGCGGUCUUUUUUACAACAAUUCUGCCAUAAGAGAUUGCGAUCCUUUCUAUACCAUCCAUAAAUUCUGCCAUAAGAGAUUGACAUCCUUUCUAUACCAUCCAUACUAGCAAAGCUUAGGAUUUGAAAGCUGAUGCAGGUGGCACUGUACGACUCCGUAUUGCGGAAACUUGUAAAACAUGAUGCCGUAUAGCACCAUCAUUAUUUUUUAUGGUGAAAAUAAAUAAAUUGAAAAGUUAACUUGUAUCGGCCUUUAAACUCGGGGAAAGAUUAUUGCGAAUUCCGAGCUAAGCGAAGGUCUCCAUAUGAGCUUGGUCAGAAAUGCUUUUGUAUGUUCUCCUUUAGAGGCCACAUUUUUCAACCAAUGAGGGCUAACGCGCAUGAAUUCACCGCUAGGGGCGCUAGUGUAGAUGGUGGUCUUUUCCAUAGUUCGAAAUGUCAAAUGUCACUUGUCACUUCAAUGACUGACAGCUGUUCUUUAGUCUUUUGGACCACCAUCAACAGAGGCGCCAACUGGUGAGCAAAAAAACGAUAGCCCUCAUUCUCGUGAAUUUUAAAAAAAUGGUGGAUAUGGACUCGCGAGUUUCGCAAAGAAACGAAACGAAACGCUAUCUGUCUCUAUCGCACUGAUAUGGAUGAGUGAUAGAGAGACAAUAGCGGGUAGUUUCACUUUCUGCAAACGAUUGUCAUGUUGGCUAGGCCCCUAGCUCACAAAGCUACUAGUUCCUUAGAUUUACACUGUAGAAUUAAUAAUUCUUUGAUUGUAGUUUACGUUCCCGAUGCUGAUGACGUCGGGAACCAUCUUUAGGGUGUGAUUUAAAAAAACUUAAGUAAGAAUGGUACAGUAAUAAAUAAUUAAUUAGCUUAAUUUAAAUUUUGAAAGAUUAUUUAGGAUCCUGUUUUAAGUUUAUGUUUUGUAUUUUCAGUUAUUUAUACACGAUUAAGUACAGUUUCAGUAAAUAACUGUUUAGUAUUGAUGAUUCAAGGGUCCCCGGCAAGCUCGGUUCUCCAUACAAACGUAGUUCCGCUCUCAUUUUAAAACUAUUAGCUAGAUUACUCUACAACUUUUUACUUACAAUAGGAUAAGGUAUAUCUAUGUCUGUAAUUAGUUUUUGUAGCUUCAGAUACCAUAGUAAAAAAAGCGAAUUUAAGUUUUUCAUACAAAACUUGCUUUUGCUGUAUUUCGUUCGUUUUAUAAACUAAUAUCAGACCUAGAUAUACCUCAUGUCAUUGUAUGUGCAAAGUUUCAUUACAAUCCAACACGUAGUUUUAAAAUGAGAGCGGAACUACGUUUGCGGGAAGGUGCAAUUCGGCCGAGCUUGCCGGGGACUUUAAAUUAAUGUUUUAAGUCUAGUGUCUUUUUUUUACUCCCUAAAGAUGGCCUUCUCGUCUCGAGAAUGGACCCGCACACCUUCGAUAUCCGAUUAUUGUUAUUGUUGAGAAUGUGUUGUAGAAUCUAAUCGUAUGAGAGAUUUCAAUGUAAAUAUAUUAUAGUUAGUGAUACCUUGUUGAAUGAGCGGCGCCGGUGGCCUACGUAUACGUACCAUAGACAUUUAAAAAAAAAUUGUGAAAAUAAUUGUAAUUGCAAAUUUGACAGCUGUAGUAGAUGGCGCUAUUGGCUACUUGCGAAGAGUUUGUGUUGGGUGAACUGAUAGUGAUGAUGUUAGAAAAAAAGUUGACUUUGGUUGGCUCAUGGGGUCAACUUUUGACUGUCUCAACGAGUGUAUCUAAAGGCCGUAACACACCGUCGCACAGUGACCUUGGUGCGGUGCGAUGGUGUGGUAUAGCCAUAAUAGUCGCCAGAUGGACGCCAUUGCCGCGCACGUAGUCUAUACAAUCCCGAUUAUUGUGCGGUAACUAAGUUAUCAAGCGUAAAGUAUGACAAUCAUGUUCCAUCAUAAUGAAUGGCGCCGGACAGCGCCAUCUACAAUUCAGUCGUCAAUUUAACGCACGCUACGCUCGUCCGAUCUCAGCGUUUUCCCGCUUCAUAGAGGAAUUUUUUUUUUGUUCCCCAUCCCCACCGUAAAUUUAGUAUGGUUUAUGGUGGGCUACAAAUCUUCUCGACCAUUGCGCGAAUCAUAUUGUCGCAUUGCGUAUGUUUUGUCCCUCACGGGCGCACGCGUAUAGCUGAUCUAUGUAAUGCUAGGUCUAUGCUCGUUUCACACGAUCCUAAAUUAUAAAUCUCUAUGGUUAGGUGAGCACAUACAUGUGAAAACUAUAAAAAUGGCGCCGGCGCUGCUGUCGCGGUAGUGGUCCGUCGGCCUCGGUCGGCCUCGAUGUUAGUUGCAGCCUCGUGUCAUCAUAAAAAUCAAUAAACAAACUUACAUGUU